rnacentral:pre_miRNA from 1 species
GAGACACCCUUCUGGGGCAGGACUUGCUUCAGUGGGGCUUUGACACUCACUGAGUCUGCCCCUUGAGUGUGUCCCU